rnacentral:rRNA from 1 species
GAUGAACGCUGGCGGCGUGCUUAAUACAUGCAAGUCGAGCGAUCGGACCACGGGUAGCAAUACCUGCGGUUACGGAGCGGCGAACGGGUGAGUAACACGUGACCAACCUGCCCUUGAGACGGGGAUAACGUUGGGAAACCAGCGCUAAUACCCGAUGACCCUGCGAUUAGGCAUCUAGUUGCAGGCAAAUGGAUUCCGCUCGAGGAGGGGGUCGCGGCCUAUCAGCUUGUUGGCGGGGUAACGGCCCACCAAGGCGAUGACGGGUAGCUGGCGUGAGAGCGCGACCAGCCACAUCGGGGACUGAGACACGGCCCGAACUCCUACGGGAGGCAGCAGUAGGGAAUCUUGGACAAUGGGCAAAGCCUGAUCCAGCGACGCCGCGUGGGGGAUGAAGGCUCGGUUGUAACCC